AUACGGAGGGUGCAAGCGUUAAUCGGAAUUACUGGGCGUAAAGCGCGCGUAGGCGGUUUGAUAAGUCGGAUGAGAAAUCCCCGGGCUCAACCUGGGAAUUGCAUUCGAUACUGUCAGGCUAGAGUGUGGUAGAGGGAAGUGGAAUUUCCGGUGUAGCGGUGAAAUGCGUAGAUAUCGGAAGGAACACCAGUGGCGAAGGCGGCUUCCUGGACCAACACUGACGCUGAGGUGCGAAAGCGUGGGGAGCAAACAGGAUUAGAAACCCCAGUAGUCC
rnacentral:rRNA from 1 species